AUGACCUCAAAUCAGAUGAGACUACCCGCUGAACUUAAGCAUAUCCUGUCCGAGUUGUAAAUUGAAGAGAGUGUCAUCCACACUGGACCAUGUCUAAAUUGUAAUGAUCCACAGUCCUUUGAUGGAGUAUCAGAGAGGGUAAUAAUCCCGUCUUUAACGUGGACUCC
rnacentral:rRNA from 1 species